UUUAUUCAUUCAGAAAUAUUUCUUCAGUGCCUACUAUGUGUCAGGCACUGUUUUAGGUGCUUAGGAUACAGAAGCAAAGGACACAAAUCUCUGCUUUCAUGAAGCUCAUAGACAAUAUGAGGAAGGUGUGGAUUAGAUAAUCCCUCUUGGCAAUAUUGCAUACAUCUAUUUGUCUCCCGGAGGAUGUGUGGAGAAGAAGCUUGCGCCCUGGGAAGGUGACUUGAAGUCCAUUUCCUGGAACAAAGGCACACAGCAGUCCUGCUUCGUGAGCUGCCAAGUAAAAUUGUCAGCAUGUAUUUAAGAAAACCAGGCCAGUCUGGCUGGGUUUAUUGAGAAUAGCUAUAUGAGACAAAGAGGAAAAGUUUUCGUUCAGUUCAUUCACAGAUAUUUAUUGAGUGCCCAUCAUGGCCAAGUCUUGUUCUAGCUGGUAAGCCUACAGAAAUGAGCCAAGCAGACAAAACACUUGCCCUCACAAAGCUUACAUUCUAGUGGGGGGGAGAUAGACAAUAAAGAUAACAGACAAAAUAUGUAUAUAUUAGGAGGUGGUAAAUGCUAAAGCUUCAGUUAGCAUAAAAAGGUAUAUGUAGGACAUUUUUAGGACACAAAAUGGGUGUUGGUAAAGAGCAUGGAUAAGGUGAGUAUUAGUUAUUAUAGUAGAUGUAGAGUGAUCAUUGAAGAGCUUCGGGAGGUGAUAUUUAAGCUAAAACCUGAAAGAUGAGGAACCAGCCUUGUGAAGAGUGAGCGAGAGGGAGAGAGAAAUGUUACAAAGGCCUGAGUGAGACAAGAACUUGGAGUGCUCAAAAGACAGAAAGAAGGCCAAUUUCUACAGUGCACUAAGCUAGGGGAGAGAUCCUAAACACGAGACCUGGGAGGCAGGCAUGCCGUGAUAAGGAACGUGGGUUUUUCUUAACUCACUCUGCUCAUUAUGGCACAAUUAUCUCUUCUACUGUAACACUGCCCACUCAGAAUUCACUGGCCAACACGGCUGCCUGGCCUUACCUCAGAGAGAGGACAGCUUAAGAAAGUCCCAAGAAUGGCCAGAAACAGACGUAAUAAAAACCAUGCUCUAAAGUUCAUACACAACACUCCUUGGGGAGCUUCUGGGAUUUGCACUCAGGUUCUUUACUUUCCUGUUAAAUACCCUUUUAAUAAAUUUCCUUAUCUGAUUUCCAAGCCCACAGCAGAUUACAAGGGUAGGGAAGGGCAGGCACUCUGCUCAGUUGACAUUUUAAUUCAGUGAGUCAUUUUGCUUGGAAACCACCUUUCCCCGUGACUGACCUCAUCCUGUACCAAAGGACUCCAGGAUUCAUCUGAACACCCUCAUGACAUGUACAUUUACUGUGCCAUGAUGUAGUGGUAAGAACACUGAUACACAUUAGUCCUGGACACAAAUCUUGACUUCAACAUUCAUAAUUCUACGUCCCAUGGAUUGUGAAUGAUUUAAGGACGUUGUGUCUUAGCUUUGAAUCACCCGUAACCCAUCCCCCUACUCCAAGCCUGGGAUAAUGCUAGUCAUGUAAUAGUGCUUGACAAAUGGAUCUUGAAUGAAUAAAUGAAAGUAUGAUUUGAUAAGUUCCCCUCUCUGAUCCUCAAC